rnacentral:rRNA from 1 species
GACGAACGCUGGCGGCGUGCUUAACACAUGCAAGUCGAACGGAAAGGCCCUGCUUGCAGGGUACUCGAGUGGCGAACGGGUGAGUAACACGUGGGUGAUCUGCCCUGCACUUCGGGAUAGGCCUGGGAAACUGGGUCUAAUACCGGAUAGGAGCCAUUUUUAGUGGGAGGGUUGGAAAGUUUUUUCGGUGUAGGAUGAGCUCGCGGCCUAUCAGCUUGUUGGUGGGGUAAUGGCCUACCAAGGCGGCGACGGGUAGCCGGCCUGAGAGGGUGGACGGCCACAUUGGGACUGAGAUACGGCCCAGACGCCUACGGGAGGCAGCAGUGGGGAAUAUUGCACAAUGGGCGCAAGCCGGAUGCAGCGACGCCGCGUGGGGGAUGACGGCCUUCGGGUUGUAAACUCCUUUCGCUAGGGACGAAGCUUUUUGUGACGGUACCUAGAUAAGAAGCACCGGCUAACUACGUG